ACGAAGGGGGCUAGCGUUGCUCGGAAUUACUGGGCGUAAAGGGAGCGUAGGCGGAUAGUUUAGUCAGAGGUGAAAGCCCAGGGCUCAACCUUGGAAUUGCCUUUGAUACUGGCUAUCUUGAGUUUGGGAGAGGUGAGUGGAACUCCGAGUGUAGAGGUGAAAUUCGUAGAUAUUCGGAAGAACACCAGUGGCGAAGGCGACUCACUGGCCCAAUACUGACGCUGAGGCUCGAAAGCGUGGGGAGCAAACAGG
rnacentral:rRNA from 1 species